rnacentral:rRNA from 1 species
GAUGAACGCUGGCGGCGUGCCUAAUACAUGCAAGUAGAACGCUGAAGGAAGGAGCUUGCUCUUUCCGGAUGAGUUGCGAACGGGUGAGUAACGCGUAGGUAACCUGCCUGGUAGCGGGGGAUAACUAUUGGAAACGAUAGCUAAUACCGCAUAACAGUAGAUGUUGCAUGAUAUCUACUUAAAAGGUGCAAUUGCACCACUACCAGAUGGACCUGCGCUGUAUUAGCUAGUUGGUGAGGUAACGGCUCACCAAGGCGACGAUACAUAGCCGACCUGAGAGGGUGAUCGGCCACACUGGGACUGGGACACGGCCCAGACUCCUACGGGAGGCAGCAGUAGGGAAUCUUCGGCAAUGGACGGAAGUCUGACCGAGCAACGCCGCGGGAGUGAAGAAGGUUUUCGGAUCGUAAAGCUCGGUUGUAAGAGAAGAACGAGUGUGAGAGUGGAAAGUUCACACUGUGACGGUAUCUUACCAGAAAGAGACGGCUAACUACGUG